rnacentral:rRNA from 1 species
CGGGGUGCAGCAGGCGCGAAAACUUUACAAUGCUGGAAACAGCGAUAAGGGGACCUCGAGUGCCAGGUUACAAAUCUGGCCGUCGUGAUGCCUAAAAAGCAUUGCAUAGCAAGGGCCGGGCAAGACCGGUGCCAGCCGCCGCGGUAACACCGGCGGCUCGAGUGGUGACCGUUAUUAUUGGGUCUAAAGGGUCUGUAGCCGGCCGGAUAAGUCUCUUGGGAAAUCCAGCAGCUCAACUGUUGGGCUUUCAGGAGAUACUGUCUGGCUCGAGGCCGGGAGAGGUGAGAGGUACUUCAGGGGUAGGGGUGAAAUCUUGUAAUCCUUGAAGGACCACCAGUGGCGAAGGCGUCUCACCAGAACGGACCUGACGGCAAGGGACGAAAGCUAGGGGCACGAACCGGAUUAGAUACCCGGGUAGUCCUAGCCGUAAACGAUACUCGCUAGGUGUCGGCCACGGUGCGACCGUUGUCGGUGCCGUAGGGAAGCCGUGAAGCGAGCCACCUGGGAAGUACGGCCGCAAGGCUGAAACUUAAAGGAAUUGGCGGGGGAGCACAAGGGCGAAUCGCGG